UGAUUGGCAAUGGGGGCACCCUGAUCCAGCAAUGCCGCGUGAGUGAAGAAGGCCUUCGGGUUGUAAAGCUCUGUCNGGGAAGAAACGGUUCUGGCUAAUACCCGGGACUAAUGACGGUACCUGAAGAAUAAGCACCGGCUAACUNCGUGCCAGCAGCCGCGGUAAUACAGUAGGCAAGCGUUAAUCGGAAUUACUGGGCGUAAAGCGUGCGCAGGCGGUUGUGCAAGACAGAUGUGAAAUCCCCGGGCUCAACCUGGGAAUUGCAUUUGUGACUGCANGGCUAGAGUGUGUAAGUAGAAUUCCACGUGUAGCAGUGAAAUGCGUAGAGAUGUGGAGGAAUACCGAUGGCGAAGGCAGCCCCCUGGNAUAACACUGACGCUAUGCACGAAAGCGUGGGGAGCAAACAGGAUUAGAUACCCUGGUAGUCCACGCCUAAACGAUGUCAACUAGUUGUCGGGUCUUAAUUGACUUGGUAACGCAGCUNACGCGUGAAGUUGACCGCCUGGGGAGUACNGNCGCC
rnacentral:rRNA from 1 species